rnacentral:pre_miRNA from 1 species
CUUCAGGUUUGUUAAUUUGUGGAGGUGACAGAAGAGAGUGAGCACUUGGCUCUUUCCUAGCAUGGAUCUUUCGUGCUAAAAGCUGUGUGCUCAUUCUCUAUCUGUCACCACCUCCUUUUACUCCCUCUCCUCUU